rnacentral:sRNA from 1 species
GACCUAAACCACGCAAGUGGCCACGGUCAAAAAUCUGAACAAACAUAGAGAUGGCUAUACCGUCUCGGUAUUGUUUGUUCAGUCGGUUUCCGAAAGGUUGCUGGGUUUCGCAAGAAGCC